AUUGAACGCUGGCGGAAUGCUUUACACAUGCAAGUCGAACGGCAGCACGGGAGCUUGCUCCUGGUGGCGAGUGGCGAACGGGUGAGUAAUAUAUCGGAACGUAUCCAAUAAUGGGGGAUAACCAAUCGAAAGGUUGGCUAAUACCGCAUACGCCCUACGGGGGAAAGCAGGGGAUCUUCGGACCUUGCGUUGAUGGAGCGGCCGAUAUCGGAUUAGCUAGUUGGUGGGGUAAAGGCCUACCAAGGCGACGAUACGUAGCUGGUCUGAGAGGACGACCAGCCACACUGGAACUGAGACACGGUCCAGACUCCUACGGGAGGCAGCAGUGGGGAAUUUUGGACAAUGGGGGCAACCCUGAUCCAGCCAUUCCGCGUGAGUGAAGAAGGCCUUCGGGUUGUAAAGCUCUUUCGCAAGGGAAGAAACGAUACUGGUGAAUAUCCAGUGUUAAUGACGGUACCUUGAUAAGAAGCACCGGCUAACUACGUGCCAGCAGCCGCCGUAA
rnacentral:rRNA from 1 species